ACUGUUGGGGUGCCUCAUUAAAGGCUGAGAAACGCAAAGCGUUGACCCAUUGAACCUGAACUGGUUAGGACCGGCGUAGGAAACAGAAUUU
rnacentral:ncRNA from 1 species